ACUCCUACGGGAGGCAGCAGUGGGAAUAUUGGACAAUGGGCGAAAGCCUGAUCCAGCCAUGCCGCGUGUGUGAAGAAGGCCUUAGGGUUGUAAAGCACUUUAAAGCAGGAAAGAAAAGCGCCGGAUUAAUACUCCCGAGCGUAUUGACGGUACCUGCAGAAUAAGCACCGGCUAACUCCGUGCCAGCAGCCGCGGUAAUACGGAGGGUGCAAGCGUUAAUCGGAAUUACUGGGCGUAAAGCGUGCGUAGGCGGUUGCGUGUGUC
rnacentral:rRNA from 1 species